rnacentral:lncRNA from 1 species
GAAAGGAUCAGUGCUUUCUCUCAGCAUGGCUCGCAGAUGGAAUGCUAUGAAGACAACCAUACACGUCAGCAUUGCCCAGAAUGAAUACUGAUUUGGGAAAAAACAGGAUGCUAGAAGGCACUAGAAAGCACUAGAAUAUGCUAAUCAUGUUUGGAUGCAAACAAGAAUUUUGGUAAUUCAUCUGGCCUGAGUGAGGAAUGCUGCAUGCAUUUUUCUUAAUAGACUUUUUUUACUUAUAGUUUUAAAAGCAAGUAACAUUUGCAAACAAACUGCACGUGAGGUAUAGUUGUUUUAUUUUAUUAAGUCAGUCAAAUAACAAAUUAGACUAACCCCACCCCCACCCCCAACUAAAUUAACGGGUUGAUGGAAUUUAAUAAAUUGGUUGUUUUCGUUCAUUGGUGAUUAUUAUUGCUUCUUUUCCUUUUUUCCUUUUCAUUAUACAAUAAACCCACCUAAAAAUUUUGCAGCAGAAAAAUAACCCCAAAUAACUUAAGGCCCUAUAUAAUAUUUAGAGUUUUCCUUAUUGAUUUGGUUUAAAUUCCCAAUAGGUUCGAGUGUUUGGCGAAAUCUCUACUUUUAUUUAAAAGAAGAAAAAGGGACCGGGGUGGUGAUUGAUUCAUGCUUGUAAUCCCAGCACUGUGGGAGGCCAUGGAGGGGGGAUCACUUCAGGGUGGGUGGAUCACUUGAGCCCAGGAGUUAGAGCUCAGCCUGAGCAACGUAGUAAGACCUUGUCUCUACAAAAAAUUUUUAAAAAUAGCCAGGUGUGGUGGUGUACAAAGCUGCAGCUAGCUGUGAUUGUACCACUGCACUGCACUCCCACCUGGGCAACAAGGUGAGACACUGUCAAAAAAAAUAAAUAAAUGAAGAAGAAGAAGAAGGAGAAGGAGAAGGAGAAGGAGAAGAAGAAGAAGAAGAAGAAGAAGAAGAAGAAGAAGAAGAAGAAGAAGAAGAAGGAAGAAGAAGAAGAAGAAGGAAGAAGAAGAAGAAGAAGAAGAAGAAGAAGAAGAAGAAGAAGAGGAAGAAGAAAGAAAGUUCUUUGUAAGUAUCUCUGUGACCCCUCAAUGCUGAGAAAAAUAAAUGUCACUCCCAAAACAAAUAAAACAAUAAAACAAACCCUUGCAUUUAUUCAGAGGUAUUCAGUCAGCUCUUUUAAAGUGGAAAUCUAUUUAUUUUAAAAUUUAAAAAUGACUUUUUUAAAUCACAAAAGCAGUACCUAUUCAUUACAGAAAUGUUGAGUAAUAACUUACUCAGUAUUUUGAACCUAAUAUUGGAAGAAAGUCAUGCUUUUCUGCAAUACUUCAGAUUUGCAAGUACCUCUCCAUUGCAACGAAGACAAUGUUUACAUAUUCAUGUCCGUGCCUACUGAAACCUCAAUUCACUAUAAUUCAACUAAGCAAAACGUUUUACUAAUGUAAGGUUGACAGAUUUAUAAAAUAAAAAUACAGGAUGCCCAGCUAAAUUAGUUAAUUCUCAGUAUAUGCAUGCCUCAAAUAUCAUCCUGUAUUUUAAUUUGCAACUUUAUAGCCC